rnacentral:rRNA from 1 species
AUGAAUAUCUUGAGCUGGAACUGCCGGGGAGGGGGGAAUCCCCGGACAGUUCAUGAACUGGUGACUAUAUCUCAGUCGCAUUCCCCCAAUUUGGUUUUCUUGUGUGAAACUAGAUAGAAAGCUAAUAAGAUGAGAAGGAUCCGAGGACGCCUAGGACUAAAUGGGUUCACAGGCGUGGACUGCAAUGGGAUGAGCGGAGGCCUUGCCUUGUUUUGGAAUGAGUCGUAUGUGGUGGAAAUCUUGGACAAGGAGGAGUUAUUUAUUGAUGCCCUAGUGCGGGUGCAGGAGGGUGCAGCUCAAUGGAGGUUGACGUGCGUGUAUGGUGAACCACGCGUGGAGAACCGACAUAUCAUGUGGGAGAAGCUGCAGCGAUUGAAAAAUAUUAAUGACCUACCUUGGCUAGUGGUGGGCGAUUUUAAUGAAGCUAUGUGGAAUUAUGAACACUUUUCAGUGACACCGAGGGCAGAACCACAAAUGGUUGCCUUCCAGGAUGCGUUGGAAAUUUCCGGCCUAGUGGAUUUGCGCUUUGUGGGUUUACCGUUUACUUACGAUAAAUAG